rnacentral:rRNA from 1 species
AACGUAGGUUCCGAGCGUUAUCCGGAUUUACUGGGCGUAAAGCGCGUUCAGGCGGUUCGGCAAGUCGGGCAUGAAAUCUCUCGGCUCAACCAGGAGAGGUUGUCCGAUACUGUUGGACUUGAGGGCAGUAGAGGGUGGUGGAAUUCCGGGUGUAGUGGUGAAAUGCGUAGAGAUCCGGAGGAACACCAGCGGCGAAGGCGGCAUCCUGGACUGGUACUGACGCUCAUGAGCGAAAGCGUGGGGAGCGAGUCCGG